AACACGUAUUUUAUUUCGUUCGACGCGAAUCAAUUCUAGCCACGUGCCCUAUAUAUCGUAUCUACCGCUAACUGAUAUUGCAACGCGAUGGUGAGCUCGCGUGCAGAUAAAACCGCGACAAUUAGCAUACGUGAGGUCAGUCGAUGGAUUAUUCGACGAGAAAGAGGCGCGAUGGAACGUCACACCUGCAGUGUCUUGGACGCCUCGUUGUGCCGAUAUGCACCAAAUAGAGCCCGUUUCGUAUCCGUAUUCCACCAAUAAAAUGUCUGGUAAUAAUAAAUUUAUUUAUUUAUUUAUUUUUUUAUUUUGAAUCUCGAAUCGUAAAUUAUUAUUUUAAAAAAUUAAGUAGCUUAACACCAAACUAUAAAAAUUAAUACUUAUAUUUCUACGAGGUGUUUUUUUUUUGUUCCAAAGUAGAUUUGUGAAAUAAAAAGUUUUCGCCAUUUAGAAGAACGAAUACAACGAUAUACAAAGAAAUUUGCACCACGCUCGGCUCACGUAGGUUAUUUACAAUGUAAUAUGUGAACGAUCGCAACUAUGCUAUGCAUCCAGCCUGAUAUUGACGUACAUUCACUUUACAUUCACGGUAUUAUUAUUUCCUCUAUCGCUACGAUACACUACACGAUGCACGCGUAGGAUAAGGCGGGACGAAAUUGCGAUGUGAAAAAUAAUGUGGAUGUUUUAUGGCUCGUCAAAUACUUCUCACGUUAUCUCCACUUCGAUCGGUGUAAAUUAUUAUUAACGAGAUGACAUAAUACGGUAUUACUCUAAUAACAACUUUACUUUCAGACAAUUACACCAACGAGUGAUAAAUCAUAUAUAUAUAUAUAUAUAUAUACACACACACACAUGUACGCGCACUUUUGCUCUAAUUAAAUUCCGUGACGCGUUCUGCAACGUCCGUUUCUUUUCAAGGUGGAAUCGCCUUGGCCGAAGAUUAAUGAACCUGUGCCUACUUUUAAAGCAGGGCUUUGUCAAGGCCGGCACGAAAGGUGUUCCAUUCCAUUCCGCGAAUGGAGCGCGUACACGGCUCUCUAAAUCGAGAGCCAAAACGAGAUUAGGGUGUGUUUAAGGCGAGGCGGCUGCUUUUCAUUACGCCUUCACACUUUUUCGACGCCUGACAUACAACAGAAUCGAAUUUCGCGUGUACACGCGCCUCUUGUCUUCUUCUGAAAAUAUUGAUGGGAUAAAUUUUAUCGAUUUUAUUUUAUUAUUUUUUUAUCAUCUCUCUCUCUCUCUUCUUUUCUUCUUUUGCGUUUUCAGGCAAUUUUCGAAAUUUUGAUCGAAUUUUCUUCGAUUCGUUCUUCGAGAGGAACACGAGUUGGAUCUGUCUGUGAAAGAGAGAAGAAAAGAAAAAAAAGAAAAAAGAAAAAGAACGAGUCUUCCGAAGAGAAGAUAAUUGAGAAAAAUUGCGUUGCUGUUAUCAGUCGUUUCUUGGAAAAACAAGACGAAGUUGACAUUGUUGAAAGAGCGGUCAAUGAAGAAUGAAAAUCUGAGAAAUAUCGUCGAGUUUUGAACAACGAGCAAUAUCGUCUUCGAUGACCUUGAACUUUACCGUCGAUCUAAAAACAAAAAUAAGAAAUUGCGUGGCAUUUUGGAAAGGAAGAGUUCCUCUUUCCUGAGAAAUUACGUGAGAGUCAAAGGAAAUGAAUUUAUUCGAAGAGAGAGAGAGAGAAAAAAAUAAUUUGUUAAUUAGCAUGCUGCGUUAUAAAAGAGAUAAUUAUAAAAGAGAAAACAAAAAACCACUCAAGUUUAUUAACAUAUAACACUGCGAGUUAAUCUCGUUAAGAAAGCUGAUAUAUGGACGAAUUAAAUCAUUCUCAAGAGAAUCCGGCGGAGGCGUGCAUGCGUUUACGUUUAGAAAUGCAAAUUGACCGAUUCGAUCAAUUUGUAACAUUAAACGAUUCAUCCUCUGCACAAUUAUUUUUAUUAUCCGAUCACGAUUAAGCGGGUUAUGUUCGCUGUUGCGAAAGGGAAACUCGGUAAAAAUACUAUGUAAAGACACGUGACAAUUAAGUAUUCCGAGGAUUCUCGAUGAUCUCUUUGCUUUCUAUGACGCUUGCGCAAUGGGUACAUUCACGCUUGACAUUGUUACGUGGUUACAGACACGGACGGCUUGUAACGCAAAAACCGUUAAAUUUGUGUCCGAUCAUUGCGCACGUCUGACUGAAUGUUAAGAAAGAAUGCUGAACAAAUAAGGGGGUAAAUGCAACGACUUGUCAAUCAGGAUCGUAAUACGGUAGCACACUGAAAGAUCGUUGCAUACAAAUCGCAUUUAUUCAAAUAGCACGGAAAUGUUUCGUUGAACGAGUCGGCGAAAUUUGCUAACAAUCUACAAACUUCUUAAACACGAUUUAUUUAAUAAAAUAUUACGAAAAGAGACGAAAA